UACGGAGGGUGCAAACGUUGCUCGGAAUUAUUGGGCGUAAAGCGCACGUAGGCGGUCUAGCAAGUCGGGUGUGAAAGCCCUCAGCUUAACUGAGGAAGUGCAUUCGAAACUACUAGGCUUGAGUACUGAAGAGGACGACGGAAUUCCCGGUGUAGAGGUGAAAUUCGUAGAUAUCGAGAGGAACACCUGCGGCGAAGGCGGGUUGCUGGGCUGACACUGACGCUGAUGCGCGAGCGUGGGGAGCGAACCGG
rnacentral:rRNA from 1 species